AGGGUUUGUCUUUUCUUGAUAGAUUGUCAAAACAAUCCCAGGAUUGCCUUUCAAGGAAAAUCCAGCAGUUCACACAGACAGGCUUCAGCAGUGCUUAAAUUCUGAUCCUUUGAACACACAUAGAACUGAAAAUGAGCAACAGAGUUUUCAAAAUCUUGAAGAAAGAAACUUUGUCUUUCUUGGCAAGAAAAUGAAGCCACCAUCAAUUCUGGAAACAGCAC